rnacentral:rRNA from 1 species
GCGGCGAGUGAAGCGGCAAGAGCUCAGAUUUGAAAUCUCACCUAGUGUGCGAGUUGUAAAUUGCAGGUUGGAGUCUCGGGUUAGACGUGUGUGCAAGUCCCUUGGAACAGGGUGCCACUGAGGGUGAGAGCCCCGUAUCGUGCAUGUCGACACCUGUGAGGCCCUUCUGACGAGUCGAGUUGUUUGGGAAUGCAGCUCUAAGUGGGUGGUAAAUUCCAUCUAAGGCUAAAUAUUGGCGAGAGACCGAUAGCGAACAAGUACUGUGAAGGAAAGAUGAAAAGCACUUUGAAAAGAGAGUGAAACAGCACGUGAAAUUGUUGAAAGGGAAGGGUAUUGGGCUCGACAUGGGAUUUACGCAUCGUUGCCUCUCGUGGGCGGCGCUCUGGGUUUUUCCUGGGCCAGCAUCGGUUUUCGUUGCAGGAUAAGGACAAUUGGAAUGUGGCUCCUCGGAGUGUUAUAGCCUUUUGUAGAUGCUGCGUAUGGGGACCGAGGGCUGCGGCGGACUCGUUUCGUCUCGGAUGCUGGCACAACGGCGCAAUACCGCCCGUCUUGAAACACGGACCA